CCUACAUUGAUUGAUAUUGUUUUGCCCAAAAUAUUUAUCGAUUUCUUCAUAAUUGAACUGAGAUAAACGGAUGUAAUCUUCUCCUUCGUUAUUCCCCUUCAACAACGGAGUGCAAGAUCUUCAAAAUCAAAGUGUGCCGGAAGAAAUAAAGAAAGGGAAGAAAUACCUAGAUAUAUGAAAUAGAACAGAACUUGAAGCUUGGAGAGAUGAAAUCUCCC
rnacentral:lncRNA from 1 species